rnacentral:snRNA from 1 species
AGCUUUGCGCAGAGGCGAUAACGUGACCAAUGAGGCUCAGCCGAGGUGCGUUUAUUGCUGGUUGAAAACUUUCACCCAAUUGCCCGCCGCGGCGCCUGAAACAUGGCGGCCGUACGAAUUUUUGAACGCCCUGAAGGGGGCAGCA